rnacentral:rRNA from 1 species
CUUGCACUAUCACUUAGCGGCGGACGGGUGAGUAAUGCUUAGGAAUCUGCCAUUUAGUGGGGGACAACAUUCCGAAAGGAAUGCUAAUACCGCAUACGUCCUACGGGAGAAAGCAGGGGAUCUUCGGACCUUGCGCUAAAUGAUGAGCCUAAGUCGGAUUAGCUAGUUGGUGGGGUAAAGGCCUACCAAGGCGACGAUCUGUAGCGGGUCUGAGAGGAUGAUCCGCCACACUGGGACUGAGACACGGCCCAGACUCCUACGGGAGGCAGCAGUGGGGAAUAUUGGACAAUGGGCGGAAGCCUGAUCCAGCCAUGCCGCGUGUGUGAAGAAGGCCUUUUGGUUGUAAAGCACUUUAAGCGAGGAGGAGGCUACCUGGAUUAAUA